GUGUGGAAACGGCGUCUGCCGUAACCAUGGAAACCGGAAGCAGACGCUUCGCUGUACGACCUGGUGAACAAAAGAUGGCAGAUUUGCCACUGGAGAGGACUCUGCCUGAUCUUCCUCCAUUUACAAGUGUGGGAGUCGACUACUUUGGACCAAUUGAGGUGAAAAGAGGGAGAAGCAUGUGUAAACGCUAUGGAGUGAUUUUUACCUGUUUGUCAAGCAGAGCAGUUCACCUGGAGAUGGCGACUUCAUUAGACACUGAUGCAUGCAUUAAUGCUUUGAGGCGAUUUAUGAGCAGAAGAGGCCAAGUUACUCAUAUGUUGUCUGACAAUGGCACUAACUUUGUUGGAUCCGAGAGAGAAUUGCGUGAGGCUCUUGCAAAGUUGAAUCACAGCAAGAUACAGGGAGCACUGCUUCAACAUGGAAUCAAGUGGAGUUUCAAUACACCUGCAGCAUCCCAUCAUGGUGGUGUUUGGGAGCGUGUCAUCCGGAUGGUCAGAAAAGUGCUCAAUUCCGUUCUGCGUCUACAAACACUGGAUGAUGAUGGACUGCAUACAGUUCUUUGUGAAGUUGAGGCCAUACUAAAUGAUCGGCCCAUCACCAAGUUAUCAGAGGAUCCGAACGACCUUGAACCUCUUACACCCAAUCAUAUUCUCCUCCUAAAAGGCAAACCUGCUGUACCACCUGGACUGUUUGUGAAGCAAGAUCUGUAUGUCAAGCGACGGUGGAGACAGGUCCAAUACCUCUCAGAUUUGUUCUGGAAGCGAUGGGUGCAAGAGUAUCUUCUGUUGCUUCAGGAGAGGCAGAAAUGGAACCAGGGGAAAAGAAGUCUUGUUGCUGGGGACGUCGUUUUAGUGGUGGACUCGACAUCUCCUCGAGGCUCUUGGCUGCUCGGUAAAGUGCUGGAAACCUUUCCUGACAAGAAUGGAUUUGUGCGAUCUGCCCGUCUUAAAACAAAAUUUAGUAUUAUGGAAAGGCCUGUAACUAAACUUUGCCUGCUGAUGGCAGCCCAUGAUGACUAAUUGGUUUAUCCAUUAAUAAGAUAUGGGGUGUACAUCUACCACUUAAGAAGAACUUUUGGCUCCUUUGUUUGUUUAUUUGUUUGAAUUGUUAUGCUUACACACCAUUAACAAUUAGGGGCCGGUGUGUAGGAGCCAAAUUGGUCAUUCUGUUUCAUGAGUGUUGUACUCAUUUGUGCCAGUAGGUGGCAGUACCUAAUUAGGCUAUUGCAAGAGUCUAUAUAGGUAGGUGGGGUAAUCAGUGCAGGGGCGCUUGCUGGGGAAUCUAUACGGUUUUUGACCGUGCCAUGGCGUGUAACGCCGCAGGUGUACUAUUGUUAAAAGAAUAUCCGUGUGUGUGAGUUUACUCAUCAAAGAUGAACCCAAAGAGACCAACCUAAGAAUCUUCAAUGUGAGUUCAUCCAGAAGCUUUCUGAUACUGGAAUACAAUGCCCCUGGUCGUUAUAAUCUGCAUAUUGGUGGACGAAAUACCUGGGGAUCUGGCUAUAUCUACACCAACCUGCUCUUUAAACCUCACAUAAGUUGCUUGUCUAAUGUUCGAAUGGACAACUGGACCAGACUCUGUCUCACCGUGGACACUGUGAAGAAUGUGGCCCAGGUGUCUAGCGGCUCGAAAAUUAGCUUCAGCAGGAUUCUGCCUAAUCGGUAUGUGUGGUCAGGUGAGCCUGUGAAAGAUUUGCCAGGUUUUGAUGGUCAGGGGACCAACGUCCAGAUAUGGGACUAUUCUAUCGGCUACAUAGAAACGUACAACUACAUGACUGGCGUCUAUGGUUUCUCUCCCAGAGGAAACGUUCCAAUGGAGGACGUCGAUAAGCAGCAGGAAGUACAUCCAACCCGCAGCGCUUGGAAAAGAAGCAAUCCAAUAAGAGAGAAGGCGGCCAAAGAGUGUUCUGACUUUAAGAGAAAGCUUUAUAUAUAAUAAUAAUAAUAAUAAUAAAAAGAUUUAGCUUGUAGAAAU